rnacentral:rRNA from 1 species
AUUGAACGCUGGCGGCAUGCCCUUACACAUGCAAGUCGAACGGCAGCACGGGUACUUGUACCUGGUGGCGAGUGGCGAACGGGUGAGUAAUACAUCGGAACGUACCUUAUCGUGGGGGAUAACGCAGCGAAAGCUGUGCUAAUACCGCAUACGCCCUGAGGGGGAAAGCGGGGGAUCGAAAGACCUCGCGCGAUUAGAGCGGCCGAUGCUUGAUUAGCUUGUUGGUGGGGUAAAAGCCCACCAAGGCGACGAUCAAUAGCUGGUCUGAGAGGACGAUCAGCCACACUGGGACUGAGACACGGCCCAGACUCCUACGGGAGGCAGCAGUGGGGAAUUUUGGACAAUGGGGGCAACCCUGAUCCAGCAAUGCCGCGUGAGUGAAGAAGGCCUUCGGGUUGUAAAGCUCUUUUGUCAGGGAAGAAACACCGGCUCUAACACAGUCCGGGAAUGACGGUACCUGAAGAAUAAGCACCGGCUAACUCUGUG